CGAAGGGGGCUAGCGUUGCUCGGAAUUACUGGGCGUAAAGGGCGCGUAGGCGGAUAUCUAAGUUGGGGGUGAAAUCCCGGGGCUCAACCUCGGAAUUGCCUUCAAAAACUGGAUAUCUUGAGUUCGGGAGAGGUGAGUGGAACUCCGAGUGUAGAGGUGAAAUUCGUAGAUAUUCGGAAGAACACCAGUGGCGAAGGCGACUCACUGGCCCGAUACUGACGCUGAGGCGCGAAAGCGUGGGGAGCAAACAGGAUUAGAUACCCUGGUAGUCCACGCUGUAAACGAUGAGUGCUAGUUGUCGGCAUGCAUGCAUGUCGGUGACGCAGCUAACGCAUUAAGCACUCCGCCUGGGGAGUACGGUCGCAAGAUU
rnacentral:rRNA from 1 species